GGAGGGCACACUGUCCGCUGCACCCGAGACGAGCACGUCUGGGACCUCCUGGGGCCUGCAGGGAGGGUUUCCGCGUGUCCCAGGACUGAGCUCACUAAAAGGCCCACUGUGUGCCGAAGUUACCAGAGCCAGAUGUCUGCUAACUCCUGUGUCCAAUUAUCCUCUUGGCACCUGUGCUUGGAUGCCACCAGGCAUCUUCCACUUCCAAGCCCACGUUGGACGCCUGGCCUCCGCCUCCCCAUCCAUGAGAACAGCAACCCCAUCUUGCAGUGGCUCAGGCCAUACCCCUGGGGGGGUCAUCCUCGAUGUCAUUCGCACCUUGGAGCCUGAUCCAGCCACUAUUCCUCAGCUCCACUUUCAAAAUAUAACUAGGUGCCCUGGAAUAUUUA